rnacentral:rRNA from 1 species
CCUACGGGUGGCUGCAGUGGGGAAUAUUGCACAAUGGGGGAAACUCUGAUGCAGCGACGCCGCGUGAGCGAUGAAGUUCUUCGGUUUGUAAAGCUCUUUUCUCAGGGAAGAAAAUGAUGGUACUUCAUUAAGAAGCCCCGGCUAACUACGUGCCAGCAGCCGCGGCAAUACGUAGGGGGCAAGCGUUAUACGGAUUUAUUGGGUGUAAUGGGGGCGUAGACGGCUGGGCAAGCUAGUAGUGAAAGCCCUGGGCUCAACCCCGGAACUACAUUUAGAACUGUGUGACUGGAGUGUCGGAGGGGCAGGCGGAAUUCCUAGUGGAGCGGUGGAAUGCGUAGAUAUUAGGAGGAACACCAGUGGCGAAGGCGGGCUGCUAGACGAUAACUGACAUUGAGGCACGAAAGCGUGGGGAGCAAACAGGAUUAGAUACCCGUGUAGUC